AGUGAACGCUGGCGGUAGGCCUAACACAUGCAAGUCGAACGGCAGCACAGUAAGAGCUUGCUCUUACGGGUGGCGAGUGGCGGACGGGUGAGGAAUACAUCGGAAUCUACUUUUUCGUGGGGGAUAACGUAGGGAAACUUACGCUAAUACCGCAUACGACCUACGGGUGAAAGCAGGGGAUCUUCGGACCUUGCGCGAUUGAAUGAGCCGAUGUCGGAUUAGCUAGUUGGCGGGGUAAAGGCCCACCAAGGCGACGAUCCGUAGCUCGUCUGAGAGGAUGAUCAGCCACACUGGAACUGAGACACGGUCCAGACUCCUACGGGAGGCAGCAGUGGGGAAUAUUGGACAAUGGGCGCAAGCCUGAUCCAGCCAUACCGCGUGGGUGAAGAAGGCCUUCGGGUUGUAAAGCCCUUUUGUUGGGAAAGAAAAGCAGCAGGUUAAUACCCCGCUGCUCUGACGGUACCCAAAGAAUAAGCACCGGCUAACUUCGUG
rnacentral:rRNA from 1 species